rnacentral:rRNA from 1 species
UACGUAGGGGGCGAGCGUUGUCCGGAUUUAUUGGGCGUAAAGGGCGUGUAGGCGGCCUGGUAAGUCGGGGGUGAAAACUCAGGGCUCAACCCUGAGACUGCCUUCGAUACUGUCGGGCUUGAGUGCUCUAGAGGGUAGUGGAAUUGCCGGUGUAGCAGUGAAAUGCGUAGAGAUCGGCAGGAACACCAGUGGCGAAGGCGACUGCCUGGGGAGUAACUGACGCUGAGGCGCGAAAGCUGGGGGAGCAAAC